UAAAGGCAGAAAGCCCCCAGUAAAUUAAUAACGGACAAUAAAGGCUAAAGGCUAAUAAAUCAGAAUAAGGGAAAGACAAAACCCACAUUUUUAAUUUUCUUUAGGGAACCUUCCCAAAAGGAUCGAUAAAAGAAUAUCUAAUCUGAACUAGAAUCUAAUAAAGGCUAAUAAACAUGCUUACUGAUUCAUGUAACUGUCUUUUUAAGAGGUUCUUGUAUAUAUACUGUAUUUUUUUCAGCAUAUGGAUAGAAACAUAAAGGCUGUUCUAAACUGGAAACAGUUUCCCCUCCAGCUAAAAACAAUAUCAUAUCAGUUACACCAUGUCUCUUCAUCAUGGCUUGAAAAUGGCCUUGUGAAUUGUGUUGUCAUACACCACGGGGGUAUUCUGCCCUUAGCUUUCUAAAUGUCUUGAUGGUUAUUCAUAAUGAUACAAAAACACCACGAGGCUGUACAAUCCCCCCUACUGGCCCAUCAGAGCUAAUUGUUGUGAAUGUUUAAUGAAAGCAGAGCUCAGAGUUAAGCACCAACACCAAACCACAUCCUCACAGCUACAGGAAGGAUUAAAGUCUGUUUGACCUGGGUUAAAGGAUGCCUCAGGAUGUCCAUCACUGGGUUUCCGGAGAGAGUCUGAUCAGUGGCUCGUGCAGCUUCACUCAGAGGGAAUUUCCAAAAGCCAGUGAAUCAUUAAGUAUGUGUGACAUCUCGGAAAAAACAGUCUGAGCCAAGAGACAUUUUAAAACUGGAUUCAUUUUUCUUUUUAUCAAAAUGAAACUCCUCUUAUAAACAAUUGAGGGAGUGUACAACAAGUUUAAAAGUUAGAGAGAGGCUGCAUGCCAUUUUCAUUAAUCAGAAAGAUUUAUCAAGCUUUUCAUUCAACCUUCGACUCUCUCUUCUUUAAUCUCAAUCUUUUAAAUUGUGCAGAGUUGCUUCAUUGUGUUUUUUAAAGCUCCUUUGAGGAGUUUUUCGACAUUAUUUAGAAAAACAGAAUUUCAUAUUUAUACCUUCCUAUGAUAUUCAAAGCAAACAAGAACAUCAGCAGCAAGACAGAUGAUUUUUGUUUUGGGAUUUUUUAUACAUGAAACUGAAGUGAGGGGGUAGGUGUCAGCUGAACAGCUAAAGAAACAGCCUUGCUUUCACAAUUUACACAUGAAAUACUGACUAUUAUUCAUACAUUUGAUCACCAAAAGUCAUCAGGAUGAGAAAUUCUGUUGAAGGACACGAUCUAAGUAUCUAGAAGACAAGAUGACCUGAGCUUGCUUUGUCCACAGGGGGCGCCAAAGUUGACACAAACAGAAAGUUCCUCACAGGAGCUUUAAGCUAUUGGUAAAAUCAGACAGUUUAACAUUGUAAAUAAUGUUUAAUGUGAGACCACUCUUUUCAAUAUGCUUAAAUUUGAAUGAGGCUGCUUUUCCUUAUGUUUCAAACUAACCUGUGUUUGCAACAUGCCUAACUUCAAACCAAAAUUAUAUCAAAAAACUUUUUUUUUAAAAUUUAUUUCUAAACUGGUGCAGAUUAUCCUGAUGGUAGCAAAUGUACUUGUACACGUCAGAUAAAAAAAAAAAAACCUCAACAUGUUAGUUUUCCAUUUUCAAGUAUUUGCAUUUCAAAAACUUAGAAAAGCUGACUGCAACAAAAUGGUAUGAAAGAAGGGCUUUCUUUCUAGUUUUUUUUUUUUCUCCUUAUGUAUUGUACAAAAUUAAGACUUUUAUGAUGUGUUGAACUGUGAAUGCUCAUGUUUUCACAACAUUAAGAUAUGCAGCCUUAAUUGGGGUAUGUAGAGACAUGGCUCACUGAAGAUUCUGGCUGCAGAGGUUAUUGCUCACAUUUAACAUCUCAUAAAAAAAACAGUUGCUUGAUUGUUCCUUGGAAGAUGGUGACAUUUCCUUGAGUCUGCUCAUCAUUCAGAGCAGGAUUGACCCCAUUUGCCAACCUGGUAUGCAAGAUCAAGUCGUUUUACUUGAUGAGGUGACAUGACACAGUUUAUAUAAAGCCAUGAGGACACAGUGACAGGCCUUCUCUGAACUAUGUUUUUGUCCUGACUCAAUCUGUAAUUAUCACUAUUUAUAUUUAUGUAUCCUCGUUCCAUUAUUACAGGUGACUAAUCGCACACUGGGAUUACAUGAAGCACAUUGUUAUCAUGAUCUGAGUAUGUCUGCACAUGCACAAGGUGUGGGUAGUGCACGUUUAAUCAAUAUCAGGUCAAAAUAUUAUAAUAAUACGGAAAGGAAAUGUGAGAAGUAGGUUAGAAAACAAAGUGAAUUGAAAUUAAUCUUUGAGUCACACAGAAGAAACUGUGACAGUAGACCAGUUAUUCAUGUUAACUGUUCUUACCCAUCCAGGUCAGGGCAAAUGUUUUGUUAACAUCUGGAUUUGAUUGAAGUUCUGGAGAAAGAAAGUCAACCUCAUUUCGAAACUGACUGGUUGACGAAACUUGAAACAUGGGCCUCAGUGAGAACUGUCACAGACACACUGGUGCAGACUAGCAGAGGUCGGCUCAGAUGAGACUUAAAAGUCCACUUAAGUCUGAGGUUUUCGGGCGGAAGGUGAACUCCUUCAAGGACUUCUACCAAGUCAGAUUUGCCUUCUGGAUUCAACUUUGACAUCAAUGUUGUUCACAUUUGUCUUCAUGGUGAUGUAUCAUGUCUCAGGUUCACCAUAAUGUGUUCAGUCUUGUUUUGCUAGUAAAUCCCAGUUUCAUAAUUAUCCAACCAGACAGACCAAAAAUCUCUGUCCUCCUUGGUGGCAACAUCUCAAGGAAGGACAUCGGGGCUGCUGGACAAGCUGGUAAAGAGGGCAGGUUCAGUGAUGGGCAGGAGCAUGAAUUCCCUGGGGACGGUGGUGGAGAGACGGAUCAGGAGCAAGCUCCUAGCCAUCAGGGGAAACACCAGCCACAUCUGACCUCCUGUGUUAAUGGCAGUGUACCAAAAAAGACAUUUAUUCUAAAGUGGAUUGCUUCUUUUCAUUUAAAGGUUUUUUUCCUCUUUUUUAAUUCAAUUAUUGUACUUAAACUGUUAUGUACACUCUGGUAGUUGUCUUAGUUGUUUCAUUCUAUUCUGUAUAUGUAUAUUGAGAUUGGUUCCUACUGGUUUCUACCUCACCCACACACAGUCUUUUAUAUCUUAUAAAUUACGUUAUACUUUGUUCUGUGGAAAUAAAUAAAUAGAUAGCUGUCAGACCUUGAGGGUCUUAUCUGAUUUCUGUUGAACAAAAGGAAUUUCUGACCUAUUUCCCCCCAAACAAUACCAUGAUCAUUAACCAGCACCCACUUGAGUCCAAGGGCAUAAUGAUAAUAAAAUGAGGUGUUAUCAGGCAGUUUUAGUUAUAAAACUUUUUGUUUGAAGAAAAUUGGGUCAUGUUGCUCUUCAGUUAAUGUACACGUCAUUAAGUUAUAUCAGCA